GAUGAACGCUGGCGGCGUGCCUAAUACAUGCAAGUCGAGCGAACAGACGAGGAGCUUGCUCCUCUGACGUUAGCGGCGGACGGGUGAGUAACACGUGGAUAACCUACCUAUAAGACUGGGAUAACUUCGGGAAACCGGAGCGAAUACCGGAUAAUAUAUUGAACCGCAUGGUUCAAUAGUGAAAGACGGUUUUGCUGUCACUUAUAGAUGGAUCCGCGCCGCAUUAGCUAGUUGGUAAGGUAACGGCUUACCAAGGCAACGAGGCGUAGCCGACCUGAGAGGGUGAUCGGCCACACUGGAACUGAGACACGGUCCAGGCUCCUGCGGGAGGCAGCAGUAGGGAAUCUUCCGCAGAGGGCGAAAGCUUGACGGAGCAACGCCGCGUGAGUGAUGAAGGUCUUCGGAUCGUAAAACUCUGUUAUUAGGGAAGAACAAAUGUGUAAGUAACUAUGCACGUCUUGACGGUACCUAAUCAGAAAGCCACGGCUAACUACGUG
rnacentral:rRNA from 1 species